GGAAGGGUGUGACUAGUGACAGAGUGAGGGAGGGUGUGACUAGUGACAGAGAGAGGGAGGGGGUGACUAGUGACAGAGUGAGGGAGGUGGUGAUUAGUGACACAGGGAGGGAUGGGGUGACUAGUGACAGUCACCACCUCCUUCACUCUGUCACUAGUCACCCCCUCCCUCACUCUAUCACUGUGUCACCCCCUUCCUCAAUCUGUCACUGUGUCACCCCCUUCCUCACUCUGUCACUAGUCCCCCAUUCC
rnacentral:sRNA from 1 species